UUGACAUGCCUGUAGACUGAAGUGCUCUAUUAUUUAGCCCAAGAACAAACACAGCAUGGGCAGCAGCAGUGCAAACACCCCCCCAGCUAAGCCGCCAAUAUACAUAAAACCCUGGCCUGGAGGAACUGAGAUAGGAGCUCAGUCUCCAUGACCCAUCCUUGUCCUCU
rnacentral:sRNA from 1 species